rnacentral:rRNA from 1 species
AUCCUGGCUCAGGAUGAACGCUAGCUACAGGCUUAACACAUGCAAGUCGAGGGGCAGCAUGAACAUAGCUUGCUAUGUUUGAUGGCGACCGGCGCACGGGUGCGUAACACGUAUCCAAUCUACCCAUGGCUCUGGGAUAGCCUUGCGAAAGUAAGAUUAAUACCGGAUGUUGUUAAAAACCCGCAUGAGUUUUUAACCAAAGAUUUAUUGGUAAUGGAUGGGGAUGCGUGACAUUAGGUAGUUGGUGAGGUAACGGCUCACCAAGCCUACGAUGUCUAGGGGUUCUGAGAGGAAGGUCCCCCACACUGGAACUGAGACACGGUCCAGACUCCUACGGGAGGCAGCAGUGAGGAAUAUUGGUCAAUGGACGAGAGUCUGAACCAGCCAAGUAGCGUGCAGGAUGACGGCCCUCUGGGUUGUAAACUGCUUUUAGUUGGGAAUAAAAAGAGGGACGUGUCCCUAAUUGUAUGUACCAUCAGAAAAAGGACCGGCUAAUUCCGUG